GAUCCUGGCUCAGAAUCAAGUACCUAGCUCGUUAUCCGUAAAGUGGCGGACGGGUGAGUAACGCCUGGGUAACCUACCUAUGGAACUGGGAUAACUUCGGGAAACCGGAGCUAAUACCGGAUAACAUUUGGAACCGCAUGGUUCUAAAGUGAGACAUGGUUUUGCUAUCUCUUAUAAAUGGACCCGCGCCGGAUUAUCUAGUUGGUAAGGUAACGGCUUACCAACGCUACGAUACCUAACCGACCUGAGAGGGUGAUCGGCCACACUGGAACUGAGACACGGUCCAGACUCCUACGGGAGGCAAAUAUUGGGAAUCUUCCGCAAUGGGCGAAAGCCUGACGGAGCAACGCCGCGUGAGUGAUGAAGGGUUUCGGCUCGUAAAACUCUGUUAUUAGGGUGAACAAAUGUGUAAGUAACUGUGCACAUCUUGACGGUACCUAAUCGAAAGCCACGGCUAACUACGUGCCAGCAGCCGCGGUAAUACGUACGUGGCAAGCGUUAUCCGGAAUUAUUGGGCGUAAAGCGCGCGUAGGCGGUUUCUUAAGUCUGAUGUGAAAUCCCACGGCUCACCCGUGGAGGGUCAUUGGAAACUGAGAAACUUGAGUGCAGAAGAGGACCUGGAAUUCCGUGUGUAUGCGGUGAAAUGCUGCAGAGAUAUGCGAGUGAACAACAGUGGCGAACGGCGACUUUCUGUGUCUGUACCUGACGCUGAUGUGCGAGAAGCGUGCAGGAUCUAAACUAGCGACUGAGAUACCCUGG
rnacentral:rRNA from 1 species